rnacentral:snRNA from 1 species
GUGCUCGUUUCGGCAGCACAUACACUAAAAAUUGGAACGAUACAGAGAAGAUUAGAAUGGCCCCUGCGCAAGGAUGACACGCAAAUUUGUGAAGUGUUCCAUAUUUUU